CCGGCGACCGCGCGACGGUGNUAACGCGUAUGCAACCUGCCCGUUUCAGCGGGAUAACCCGGAGAAAUCCGGCCUAAUACCGCAUGUGGCCGAGGGGAGGCAUCUUCUUUCGGCCAAAGGAGGCGACUCCGGAGACGGAUGGGCAUGCGUGACAUUAGCUUGUUGGCGGGGUAACGGCCCACCAAGGCGACGAUGUCUAGGGGUUCUGAGAGGAAGGUCCCCCACACUGGUACUGAGACACGGACCAGACUCCUACGGGAGGCAGCAG
rnacentral:rRNA from 1 species